rnacentral:rRNA from 1 species
GACAGAGGAUGCGAGCGUUAUCCGGAUUCAUUGGGUUUAAAGGGUGCGUAGGCGGACUGAUAAGUCAGUGGUGAAAACCUGCAGCUUAACUGUAGAACUGCCAUUGAUACUGUUAGACUUGAGUAUGGUCAAGGUAGGCGGAAUGUGUAAUGUAGCGGUGAAAUGCUUAGAUAUUACACAGAACACCGAUUGCGAAGGCAGCUUGCUGGGCCAUUACUGACGCUGAUGCACGAAAGCGUGGGGAG